UCUGCCNGUAGUCAUAUGCUUGUCUUAAAGAUUAAGCCAUGCAUGUCUAAGUAUAAGCAAUUAUACAGCGAAACUGCGAAUGGCUCAUUAAAUCAGUUAUCGUUUAUUUGAUAGUACCUUACUACAUGGAUAACCGUGGUAAUUCUAGAGCUAAUACAUGCUGAAAACCCCGACUUCGGAAGGGGUGUAUUUAUUAGAUUAAAAACCAAUGCCCUUCGGGGCUCACUGGUGAUUCAUGAUAACUUCUCGAAUCGCACGGCCUUGCGCCGGCGAUGGUUCAUUCAAAUUUCUGCCCUAUCAACUUUCGACGGCUGGGUCUUGGCCAGCCGUGGUGACAACGGGUAACGGAGGGUUAGGGCUCGACCCCGGAGAAAACGCCUGAGAAACGGCGUUUACAUCCAAGGAAGGCAGCAGGCGCGCAAAUUACCCAAUGCCGACACGGCGAGGUAGUGACGAGAAAUACUGAUACAGGGCUCUUUUGGGUCUUGUAAUUGGAAUGAGUACAAUUUAAAUCUCUUAACGAGGAACAAUUGGAGGGCAAGUCUGGUGCCAGCAGCCGCGGUAAUUCCAGCUCCCAUAGCGUAU
rnacentral:rRNA from 1 species